GAUGAACGCUAGCGGCAGGCCUAAUACAUGCAAGUCGAACGGGAUUGCGGUAGUAGCUUGCUACUACUGCAUGAGAGUGGCGCACGGGUGCGUAACGCGUGAGCAACCUACCCAUAUCAGGGGGAUAGCCCGGCGAAAGUCGGAUUAACACCGCAUAACAUCAACAGUUCGCAUGUUCAGUCGAUUAAAUAUUUAUAGGAUAUGGAUGGGCUCGCGUGACAUUAGCUAGUUGGUAGGGUAACGGCUUACCAAGGCAACGAUGUCUAGGGGCUCUGAGAGGAGAAUCCCCCACACUGGUACUGAGACACGGACCAGACUCCUACGGGGGGCAGCAGUAAGGAAUAUUGGUCACUGGGCGCUAGCCUGAACCAGCCAUGCCGCGUGCAGGAGGACUGCCCUAUGGGUUGUAAACUGCUUUUAUCAGGGAAUAAACCCCUUUACGAGUAGAGGGUUGACUGUACCUGAAGAAUAAGGAUCGGCUAACUCCGUG
rnacentral:rRNA from 1 species